UACGUAGGGGCCUAGCGUUGUCCGGAUUUAUUGGGCGUAAAGAGCUCGUAGGCGGUUCGGUAAGUCAGGUGUGAAAUCUCCACGCUCAACGUGGAGGCGCCACCUGAAACUGCCGUGACUCGAGUCCGGUAGGGGAGUGUGGAAUUCCCGGUGUAGCGGUGAAAUGCGCAGAUAUCUGGAGGAACACCGGUGGCGAAGGCGGCAUCCUGGACCAAUAUUGACGCUGAGGAGCGAAAGCCAGGGGAGCAAACGGG
rnacentral:rRNA from 1 species